UACAGAGGGGGCAAGCGUUGUUCGGAAUUACUGGGCGUAAAGGGCGCGUAGGCGGCCUCUUAAGUCGAACGUGAAAUCCCCGGGCUCAACCCGGGAACUGCGUCCGAUACUGGGAGGCUUGAAUCCGGGAGAGGGAUGUGGAAUUCCAGGUGUAGCGGUGAAAUGCGUAGAUAUUAGGAAGAACACCAGUGGCGAAGGCGGCUCACUGGUCCGGUACUGACGCUGAGGUGCGAAAGCGUGGGGAGCAAACAGG
rnacentral:rRNA from 1 species